GGGUGCUUAACUUCUGUUUAAUGUAUUUGUUUCAGUAAACUUUUGAUUUAUUCUAAAUUUUGUAUUCUUAGUAAAAAUGUAAGUUUAGAACAGGUUUAAAAUUCUAUGAAAUAUCAAUAACAAAUAUCUUAAAAAACAAGAUUGACAUUCCAGGAAGACAAUAAUGAAUAUUUGGCACAACCUUCAUCUUUCCCUAUUAAUAACUUAUUAAAAUAUAGAAUUAUAUGUUGAUUGAUUGAUUUGUGUUUAACACCACUUUCAGCACUAUUUUGUCAUUUUAUGGCGGUCAGUUCUUAUUGAUCAUAGAGGCUAGAGUGCUUGGAUAGAACCACCAACCUAAGAGUAAUAACAUAGUAUGAUGAUCCAAUAUUUUCAAAUUUUUAAAACUAUGACUACCUAUAUGUAACUAACUAACAGACAUAAAAUACAUGUAUAUGAAUAAUUUGAUUUGAUACUCUAUAACAAAU
rnacentral:lncRNA from 1 species